rnacentral:lncRNA from 1 species
AGGAAUAGAUGACUAUUGAAAAGGUAGUUCAGUAGGUAAAAUGGAUGAAUAGUUAGGAAAAACAGUUUUCAUUAGAGAUGUAGCAGUUGGUAUCUCGUGGUAGCAUAAGGAAGAUGGGAGAGAGGAAGUAAGGGCCAGACUGUGAUAGUAUGAGCCGGGGUAAGCUUGGUGCUACCUCUUUUCUUUUGUUUUUUUAUUUUCUUUGAAUAAGAAGAUUAAGAAUUUUUGAAUAUUGUGAAAGUGAAUUAUGGAAUAG